rnacentral:tmRNA from 1 species
GGGGGUGUACUGGUUUCGACUGGUGGUUUGAAGGGUAGACUGCGUGUCGAGGUUGAUCGGUUGGCCUCGUAAAAAGCCGAUCAAAAAACAAAUGCAAAUAACGAACCUGAACUUGCGCUGGCGGCUUAAUUAAGCCUCCCGGGAUUUGGCCGACGCCGGCUGAGUCAGAUCCCGUAUACUUUAGCCGGCUUAGUCCCCCGACGGGUGUCCGGUCGGAAGGAUGAAAGGUUACAGGGCAACCGGAGGGAAGGAAUUCUGUCAAUCGAAGUCCCCUCUCCUAAAUUAAAAGACUGACUAUGCAUGUAGAGGUUUACUUAGACAGCUAUUAGGACAGGGGUUCAACUCCCCUCACCUCCACCA